AUGUGCUCAAUCUCAAAGAAAAAUAUAUACUUUGCAUAUACAUAUAAAUUCACUUAACGUAUAUUUCUUUCAAUAGUUAAUCGACUAUCAUCGCGAAAGGUUGGAUAUCAGUGCAAAAGAGGGAACACGUAAAAUUGCAAAGAAAGGUGGUGUUUAAAACACAAAUAAAAAAAAAUUUAAAAAAGUUGAAAAUUGCUUAAUUAAAUUCUUCUAAACCUAAGCAAAAGCGAAAAUAAACAAAAAUGAGCUCAAAAUCAUACUUUGAAGAUUCGCGUGACGAAAGUCAGGGCGGCAAACUUUCCCGGAAGGUAAAGGAUUCACCAUUCAUGGUUAUUGGUUUGGCUGGUUUCGUAGCAGCUGGUUUAAUUGGCGCAUACAAGUAUAAGCAUCGUGGUACGAUGAGCACAAGUGUUUUUCUGAUGCAACUUCGUGUAGCAGCGCAAGGCACCGUAGUCGGCUGCCUGACGUUGGGUCUGGCUUAUAGUAUGGCCAACGAGUAUCUUUUUAAGGACAAAACACCCAAAGAAAAGUAAUGCUGACUGAUAACACUUUGGAAUUAGUUAAUAGUAUAUGCUUGUAUUUCUAAAUAAUCGUUUAUAUGUAAAUAUCAAUUUGAAAUCAUAAACAUAAAAUCCGCUUUUAUAAUGGAGAUUUAACUCGCAAUCAGAAGGUUAACUGCUGAAUGCCAGUUUAAGUACAUACUCUGCAAUGUGAAAAUGAUACCAAACGACUGUAAAAACAUAAUUCAAUGAUAAUGCAAGUGUUGCUUGAAAGUCUUUUAAGCAUGGAUACCACAGAUAUUAGCUUUAUUUGUUAACUCUUUUAAGCUAAUUUUUACACUAAUUCAUUUGUUUUGUACAUAUUACCAAAUUGUCCAACUAAAAAACCACAAUUUGUUAGCUGCACUUACAUACUACAACUACAUACCAGAAAGGAGCGAACAUUCAGAACAAAAGUGUAUAGAAACUGCGUUAUUGAAAAAAUAAUCACACGUUUGAGUAAUUGUAUCCACGGCAAAUUUAGCAACAGUUAAAAGCAUUCAACCCAGACACCUAAGACCAUCUGUGUACCCACAUAUGUACAUACUUUUAAACAUUGUCAACUUGAAUACAUAAUUUAUUACUUAACAAUAGAAUACCAUACGCACUACAAGUAAGUUAAGAAGGAAAUGGCUAUUAAACCAUUAAAUCGCGUACUUUAAACGCUGAGAUCCUAUUGCCUGUGAUAUGCAAUGUAAUGCGAUUAUAAAGUUUUGUGAACAGAGAUGCUAAAUAUCAAUUAUUGCAGGAAUGGGUUGUGGAGAAAUACAUACGAAAGUUGUUUUUGUUAAUGAU